rnacentral:rRNA from 1 species
UACGUAGGGGGCAAGCGUUGUUCGGAAUUACUGGGCGUAAAGGGCUCGUAGGCGGCCAACUAAGUCAGACGUGAAAUCCCCAGGCUCAACCUGGGAACUGCGUCUGAUACUGGAUGGCUUGAAUUCGGGAGAGGGAUGCAGAAUUCCAGGUGUAGCGGUGAAAUGCGUAGAUAUCUGGAGGAAUACCGGUGGCGAAGGCGGCAUCCUGGACCGACAUUGACGCUGAGGAGCGAAAGCUAGGGGAGCAAACGGG